AAUGUUUCGAUAGAAAGGAACUUGAGGACUUCCGGAUUCUGUCCUCGGCUGGAGAACGAUGAUUUUCCCGGAGUUUUCAAAUGGAAAAAACGAGUGAUACAAAUUGGCCAAGACCCUGUGGAAAUCCUGAAGAGUAGGAUGGACUCUCUGGGUAUGAGGGGCCCAUCCCUAAACCAGGACUUCCUACACAGUGUGCUGAAUGCUGUUCCUCGUGGACUGACAGUGGGCCCCUCUCUAGCAAAUGAUGGCCAGUUGGGGCUCUGGUGUGUAGGACAUGCACUGCAGAAAGGGAUGCUUCUGGGUGUGGAAAACCAAAGCAACACCUUUGACCAAAGUGAAGACUUUACAGAGAGCUUGAUGGAAGAAGCAUAUCAGACAAUAAUCAAGGGGCAUCUUUGGGACAGGUGCUAUUGGAUUAGAUUUGCCUGCAAUGCAAGGAGAAAGGAUGAACAGAAUGUUACUGUUCAUGAGGUGGAUGGAAGUCUCUGUCUAAGGGCCUGCAAAGACAUCAACCCAGGGACAGAACUUCUGCUUUGGAGUUUCCUAGCUGAUCCUCCGGAACACGAUGGAAGCCAAGGAGGGUCACUAAUAACACCAGGCAAACCUCGCAAACAAGUUACACCUCGCAAGUCCAGGGAGGACAGAUCCCCAGGUGUAAACUUCAUGGAGCAAGAGCUCAAGCUUACAGAGCCUGAGGAGCACACUGAAGAUUCAGACAUUUCAACUUCUCCACUGGGGUCGAUGGUGUUGGAGGAGAAAAACCAGGCUGGAAUCAAAAGGACCAAACCUCUUAUCUACAAAAUGAAAAAGAGAGGUGUGAGAGACUCUCAUUCCAGGGGUGAUAAAACAAUGGAACAGAAUGGAGAAGUUGACUCAGGCAAAAUAAUAAAAACAGAACGUUUCAUUCCAGAAAUAACCAAUGUGCCAUGCUCUAAUGAGGACAAACUUGUGAGUCCUGCAGACGAGCCUCCAAAGAGCAGUGAAGAACCAGGUAAUGUGGUAAGAAAUCCCCAGGAGGAACAGGGGCCACAGGUGGUCAGGGCCAGUUGCAGACUGGCUGCUAAACCCAGGAAGGUGCAUUCAUUAGUCAGCUGCAUCCACAAGCGUCUUCAAGGGUGCAAAAAUAGAUAUCUGGAUCGUCAAGUGACAUUGGAGGUUACGUCCAGAGUUGGUGAUGAAAAUGGACAAGCUUGCCAAGAAACAGACAUAAAAGAUAGAGAAAAUAUAAGCGCAGAUGAAAUCCCAAAGGAUAGUGACAAAGGGGGGAAGAAAGACCCGGAGGAGCUUAUGACAGCUCCAGACCUCUUUAACAUCAGGGAAAGGAGGUAUACAUGUGACGAGUGUGACAAGAGUUUCUUUCAGCUCUGUCACUUGAAGAAGCACAAAUUCACUCACUCUGACCUAAAGCCUUACUUAUGCACAGAGUGUGGUAAGAAUUACAGCUCUCAAGAGAACUUCAGGGCCCACCUUCUGAUGCAUAAGGGAGAGAGGCCAUUCAAGUGCCAGCAGUGUGACAAGAGCUAUGGCCUGAAACGGGAUCUGAAGGAGCAUGAAGUUCUUCAUACAGGAGAGAGGCCUUUUGUCUGCGAUAUCUGUGGGAAGGCUUUUGCCCGCCGGCCUUCAUUACGUAUUCAUAGGGAGGCCCACCGCGCCAAGGAAGAAAAUUACCAUGCUCCUAAGCUCAAGUGCCCUGUCUGCGAUAAAGAACUGGCCAAUUCGGGCUCCCUUAGGAAUCACAUGCGCUUGCACACAGGAGAACGGCCUUAUGCCUGUCCCCACUGCAGUAAGACAUUCCGACAGCGGGGGAACCUUUUGGGGCAUCUACGCAUCCACACAGGGGAAAAGCCUUACAAGUGUAACCAUUGUAAUCAGUACUUCUCACAGGUGCCUGAACUCCGCAGACACCUCAUAUCACACACAGGGGAAGUCUACCUCUGCCCUAUAUGUGGCAAAGCCUUGCGGGACCCCCACACCUUGCGGGCCCACGAACGUUUACACACAGGGGAGAGACCUCACAAGUGUGAGGUGUGUGGGAAGGCCUACACCAUGGCCACCAAGCUACGCCGGCACAUGAAGUCCCACCUAGAGGAGAAGCCCUACAAAUGUCAGGCAUGUGGUGCUGGCUACACGCUAAUGCAGAGCUUGGUUCGCCACCAGCUCUCCCAUAAAAAGAGAGAAGAUCGGACAUCUGGGGAGCUAGCUGACGCUCUGGCAGCUCUGGAGUCUAGCCACUCUGCCCCUGCUAGAGGCAGACCUAGAAAGACCCCUCGCAAGACAGAGGUCAAGCCAUGGGUUGAUGUCACUGAAGAGAACAUGGAGAGUCAGACAGUAGUGUAUGUUCAGGCCAUCGAAGACUUAGCCAUGCCUAACUCAGGGGAGGUUGUUGUCAGCACCUAUGACUCGUAUCAUGAUAAUGCCAUAUCUUCUGUGGUAAUAGAGGAAGGGUUGGAACAGGAUUUGGGCCAGAUCCAGCUAAAUGAGAAUGUCAUUGAGAUAGUUGUCUCAGAUUCUAAUGAUAAGUGCAUUGUGGUAAGGGAGCACAAAACACACAGCAACCUGGUGAUUCUACAGGGAGAGGAUGGACUGAGCUCUGUGGCAGAGACAAUAGAGAUAGAAACAGGAGUUUAAAACUGCAAGUCACACCGUUUUGCUUUCUGUUGCUGUUUUUAUUUUUUUAAAUCUUCAAAUAAAACCAAGGGUGUGAAGAAUUUUUUUUUGUUUUGCCUGCUAGAUGUACUUUACCUAAUAGAAGACAAUAAGCAGUACUUAGUAGGAAAAUACAUUUCUCAUGAAUAUAAAAUAUGUUAUCACCAUCAGGAUACUCCAUUUAGAUUACUGGAGAAGGGAGCCAUAAUUGUCAACGAGUUAAAGAUAUCAGCAAAUAUUGACUCACAUCUGUGGUGGAUCUUGCCUAGCCACUAUCUACAGCAAAUGUUCUUUUCAAGGACUGUACUAAAACUACCUGCCCCUGUAUUUUAGGAAAUAUCUUAAUGGUUACAAAGAGAAAUCCUCAUGAAUAGUUUUCUUUUUUAUCUGACUAAAAUAUAUUUGAUGUCUAGAGAAUGUUUAUGAAGGCUUAUUAAAUAGCUUUACUGUAUUUUAAUACACUGUUGUAAAUAUGGUCCAUCAACAAGACGAUCAUUAUUGUUGAAGACUCCAAUUAAAAUAGAGAAGUACCUCUGUGGUGGCUUUACAACAGUUGUAUGUGUUUUUGAACACGACUUUGAUCAUUCACUCUUUAUCCAAUGCGUCAUUCAAUAUUUGGGUGCAAAUAUUUAGAUGGUUGGGACAGUCCGAGACUGAAUCAGCAAAUAUUCUGGUUUGAAGCAACUUUACUUUGUGUUUGCUAUGCUUGUCUAUGCAGCACACACUAUCAUACUCUAAAUGAGGAAAUGGUAGUAUUUAAAAGGUUGAUUUGUUGUGUGUGUUUUUGACCUUUGUCUUUAUCAUUUGAUAUUCCUCUUGUAAUGACUUAAUAGCAAACUUUUAUUUUUUUAUAAAGUAAUCCAUGAGUAGGCCCUGACAGAAAAUAAACCAUGGAGAAAGCUAUUCUUGACAUAGUGUGGAAAGCGUAUCCAUGGCUAUAGGUAAUAGUUGAAACUUUAAUGGAAAUACUGAGUGCAAUUUUCUGUUGUUGACAUGACCCAGGUGGGAGGCGCAGCCCCUAGUCAGUCUUAGUACAGUGGUUCAAUAUUAACCAGGUGGUUCAAUGUAACAGAAAGUGGGGGGUUUCAAUGAGUACUGGAUUUUGAGGGGGUGAGAAGGUUUGGUGAUGUCCUAGGUUUUGCAAGGAGUUCUGUCUUAACCAUCCGCAACAAUGGGUCGAAUACCCGCAACUCUCAUUUUCACUCUACUAUUUUCUUCUACUCUUCAGAUCACCCUUUGUGAAAAUGGUAAGAUACCAGUUAUUUACCAGCCCUGAAAGCUUAAAAGCAAGCUUCAAAAUAUCGAUAUUCUGAAAAUGUAUACACCUUAAAUUGUUACUCCUUGAUGUGAAUUAGGCUAUUUGUCAGUUAUAAUUUCACUAAACAAUAGGUUGAGUUAUCAAAUAUUUGUUUAUAGUAUUUCUUAACAGCAAGGAGGCCUCACAGGUUUUUAUCCGUGCUAAACGGGCAAAUUCCUUCCUUGAGGAGUUGAAACCUGGGAACUUGGAACGGGAGUGCAUCGAGGAGAUCUGUGACCAUGAAGAAGCCCGUGAAGUCUUUGAAAAGCCUGACAAGACGGUGAGAAUGUCUGGCUUGUUCGAUUGAAGUAUCAUGCAAAGCACAUUAAUAUUCACCAUGGUAUACUGGUAACUAAAUCAUGAGCUUUCUGUUUACCUGGGUAACACUAUGUUUAUUUGUGUAAUAAAGUAUGAUUAUAGUAUUUCUCCCCAAAUAACUGUCUAAAUUGAUCUUUCUUAAUUUAGAAGGCCUUUUGGACCACCUAUUUGGCUUGCAAAGGCACUUCACUGCUGAGAGCCAAGGACAGUAUAAAAAAAUUGAGAGGGUGUAUUGAUGCCAGUGGUAAUAAUUAUGGCCUGAUUACACUGCACAUUUCAAAUACAGUGGCUUGCGAAAGUAUUCACCCCCUUUGGUAUUUUUCCUAUUUUGUUGCCUUACAAUCUGGAAUUAAAAUAGAUUUUUGGGGGGUUUGUAUCAUUUGAUUUACACAACAUUGCCUACCACUUUGAAGAUACAAGAAAUAAGACAAAAAAAAACAACAUGAGCGUGCAUAACUAUUCACCCCCCCCCCAAAGUCAAUACUUUGAAGACCCACCUUUUGCAGCAAUUACAGCUGCAAGUCUCUUGGAGUGUCUAUAAGCUUGGGCACAUCUAGCCACUGGAAUUUUGCCCAUUCUUCAAGGCAAAACUGCUGCAGCUCCUUCAAGUUGGAUGGGUUCUGCUGGUGCACAGCAAUCUUUAAGUCAUACCACAGAUUCUCAAUUGGAUUGAGGUCUGGGCUUUGACUAGGCCAUUCCAAGACAUUUAAAUGUUUCCCCUUAAACCACCCGAGUGUUGCUUUAGCAAAAUGCUUAGGGUCAUUGUCCUGCUGGAAGGUGAACCUCCAUCCCAGUCUCGAAUCUCUGGAAGACUGAAACAGGUUUCCCUCAAGAAUUACCAUGUAUUUAGCGCCAUCCUAAAACUCUGACCAGUUUCCCAGUCCCUGUCGAUGAAAAACAUCCCCACAUGGUGUUCUUGGGGUGAUGAGAGGUGUUGGGACUGCCUAGCCAGACAUAGCGUUUUCCUUGAUGGCCAAAAAGCUCAAUUUUAGUCAUAUCUGACCAGAGUACCUUCUUCCAUAUGUUUAGGGAGUCUCCCACAUGCCUUUUGGUGAACACCAAACGUGUUUGCUUAUUUUAUUUUUUAAGAAAAGGCAUUUUUUCUGGCCACUCUUCCGUAAAGCCCAGCUCUGUGGAGUGUACGGCUUAAAGUGGUCCUAUGGACAGAUACUCCAAUCUCCGCUGUGGAGCUUUGCAGCUCCUUCACGGUUAUCUUUGGUCUCUUUGUUGCCUCUCUGAUAAAUGCCCUCCUUGCCUAUUUUUAUUGUUAUAUCUUUCUAUUUCAUUUCAAUAAAAAUGAAAUUAAAUAAAAAUCUAUUUAUGCUACAGGUUGUAAUUCAACAAAAUAGGUAAAAGGCCAAGGGGGAUGAAUACUUUUGCAAGGCACUGUACGUCAAUGAUUGAUUGACUAAAUGUUAAUGUUUGUGUUGAAAUCAGCUAAAAAUUGUGAGGAAUCUACCAGGAAAAUGUUCUAAUGUAAAGAUACAUUUUUUUGAGCAGGACAUCCUGUUUCUCAAAUAUUAUGUGGGCCUGCGUCUUACAGGAGAGUGCUCAGUGGGCAAUGGUGUGAACUACAACGGUACCAUCUCCACUACUUCCUCAGGAAAAACAUGCCAGUACUGGCGCAGUAACUUCCCACACAGAAUUACAGAGUUCAAUUCUUCGCUGGAUGAGACCCUGUAUGAGAACUAUUGCAGGAACCCAGACAAAACUCCUGAAGGACCUUGGUGCUUCACCAGGGAUCCCACAGUCAGGAGAGAGCAAUGCAUCGUCCCAAAAUGUGGUGAGCCUUGGGUACCCCCAAAAGUAUCUGCUACAGUGGAUGGGAAAGCCAAGUACACUAAGAAGGACUGCCUGGCCAACAAUGGCUUGGAUUAUACAGGUGAUCUCUCAGUUACCAUGAAUGGCAAAACGUGUCUGCCUUGGGCCUCCCCAAAGGCAUUGGGACUCAGCAAAGGAAAGAAUUUCAUCCCAGAGAUCAAACUUGUGGCGAACCACUGUAGAAACCCUGACGGAGAUAUGGAGGGACCCUGGUGCUAUGUGGACCAGCAUGGAAAUACCACUGUGGACUACUGUGACCUUGAGAUGUGUGAUGACCCAAUAGAUAACUAUGAGGAGGCGGCUGGCGGAAGGGAAAGGACAACACUCUCUGGGCCCAGACAAUCCUUCUUCAGCCCUCGGAGCUUUGGCAGUGGAGAGCUGGUGUGCGGAGAGCGACCCAUGUUUGAGAAGAUAAGUAAGAAGGAUGGUAGAGAGCAAGAACUGAUUGACUCCUACCAAGGAGGCCGUAUUGUUAAAGGGAUUGACGCAGAAGUGGCCAGUGCACCAUGGCAGGUGAUGUUGUACAAGAAAAGCCCACAGGAGCUGCUGUGUGGGGCCAGUCUAAUCAGUGAUGAAUGGAUCCUCACUGCAGCCCACUGCAUCCUCUAUCCACCAUGGAACAAAAACUUCACCAUCAAUGACAUCCUGGUCCGCCUUGGCAAACAUAACAGAGCUAAGUGAGUGGCCAUCUCCUAUUUUACCAUUUUAUCUUUAUUAAACAAGCGACACACAUUGACUUUUGCACAGUUCAACAGUGAACUAUGACAUGCCAUAAGACUUAAGACAAAACAAUAAUAUAGCCAUAGCAAAAUAUUCUUGGCUCAUACCGUAUUUCAACCUAAUCCCAGGUUUGAGAAGGGCACAGAGAAGAUUGUGGCUAUUGAUGAGAUAAUUGUCCACCCCAAGUACAACUGGAAGGAGAACCUGAACCGGGACAUUGCUCUGCUGCACAUGAGGAGGCCUAUUACUUUCACAGAUGAGAUUCAUCCUGUCUGUCUACCAACCAAGCAGGUUGCUAAGACGUAAGAGAGUUUACCGUAGCUAGCAGUAAUUAUCAAAUAUGAAUUAUUAACAUUUCUGAGCUUUUUCCCUUACUAGCAAUGGUAGCAUCUUUUUUUGAUUUCUCCUUCAAGACUGAUGUUUGCUGGCUAUAAAGGCCGUAUAACAGGCUGGGGGAACCUAUAUGAGACAUGGAGUUCCUCCCCCAAGUCUCUACCCACAGUUCUCCAGCAGAUCCAUCUACCCAUCGUUGAACAGGAUAUCUGCAGAGACUCUACCUCUAUCCGCAUCACUGACAAUAUGUUCUGUGCUGGCUUCAAACCAGAGGAACAUAAAACUGGUGACGCUUGUGAAGGGGACAGCGGUGGCCCCUUUGUCAUGAAGAGCCCAGAUGACAACCGUUGGUACCAGAUCGGCAUUGUGUCCUGGGGAGAAGGAUGUGACAGGGAUGGGAAAUAUGGAUUCUACACCCAUCUUUUCCGUAUGAGGCGGUGGAUGAAGAAAGUUAUUGACAAAACAGGCGGCGAUGACGAUGAUUGAUUGUUAUUUCUUUUCAUUUUUCUCUACAUGCAAAGGAAACUGAUGUAAUAUUGGAAAUAAACAUGCGUUCCUGA